rnacentral:miRNA from 2 species
AGCUGAUCAUAUAAAUUG